UGUGCAGUAACUUAACUGGUCCUUUUGUCGACAACUUUUUGAAAUCCAUAAAAUUGUCCGUGACGACGUGAUGCUACUUUGAACGAGGAAGAAGCGGCCUCUCACACAGGUCUUUAUGGGUGCCGCCAUGGAACUCGUUUCACACUUGGCUUCACUACAGUCUCAGUAGACGUUUAUACCAUUUUGACGGAAGUUUCUUUCAUCUCUUUAUAUCCUGGAAGCGGCACGAUGGGGGCUCGUUUCAUCCAAUGACAAGGGUUUGAGAGAACCAGCUAAGGAUCGGCGGCUAAAAGGAUUGCGUAUCGAGAGAACGGUUUGCGAUCCAUGACAAGUUGGGUAUGCGUCAGCCAAAUGGGCCGGAAUGUUUGAAUGCCGAUUAGGAACAACGCCCAAUGGAUGAGUUGAUUUGGCGUUUUAGCGGGACAAUGCACCGGCUCUGAAUGCGCUUGUGACCACCUCAUCCACCGUCUCAUCCAUCCUGCCGGCCUAUCAACAUGGUGGGCUGGAACAUCCGCAAUUUAUCGAGAUCACUCGUGGGUUUUGUAAUGAAAUGGGAAUGAAUAAAAACAGCAUUCGAAA